rnacentral:lncRNA from 1 species
GAACAAACGUUCAUUUCAGGGCAGUCACGAAUUUUCACUCCUCUGAAAAAUGGAAAUUCAGUAACAGGAUUUGUUAGAAAGAAAUGCCUCAGCUUAGGCAGUUCUUCAAGCUCCAACUUUUCCAACAGGGGAAAUAAGGUCAUGAUUUCUUCUCCUUGUUGUUCCUCUUCUGUGAUCACUUCUUCCAUUGACACACAAUUGUCUAUUAAUAUUCUUCGUAGAUUCAGUGCACCCCGAGCCACUGAUGGAGACAUCAAGUUUCUCAACUUUCCACAAUCCGAUACAUGCAAUGUUUCAAGUUUGCUGAAGUAGGCAGUUGGAAGUUGGUGAGAGCAUAGAGCACUUAUGCUUUCAAGUUUCCUGAUGAUUAGCUGGUGAGAGCAUAGAGCACUUAUGCUUUUAAGUUUCCUGAUGAUUAGCUCUUUCAAGUUAGGACAAGAAACCUGCAAACGUUGAAGUAUUAUAAAGCAAUUCAGAAUUUAAAAUUUAUAGAUAUCUCUAAUGAACUCAGGUUAAUAUCCAAUAACAAUCGCGUUCACAAUCAAGGAAUCUCUAGAUAUUACUAAUACAGAUUAAAGUCUCUAGGAAAAAGCUAUUAGAUUCACGUGAACCCUUGAGUUACAAUAUUGUAGCUUCGCUUAUAUUUCUUACCUCCGUUUACAUAGAUAUCAGGUGGCAAACAGAAAUAACUGUAUGAAAAUAUUACUAUUACUAUUAUUAUUUGCUAGUUAAAAUGGAAAGAUAGCAACAUACCAGGGGUGUAUUAAUGUAUGACACAAAUAUAUAUAGUAUUUAGUUAUAAAGCUAACGGCACAAGACAAACCUUAGAAUUGAACAUUGCUUUAUUGAGAUCAACUACUUUCACCUCAUCAGCAUUGUUCACACUUUCGAGACUCAGCGUACUCACAGAUAUUCCCUGUUGGACAAACAUCUUCAUUUCAUGGCAGUCACGAAUUCUCAAUUCUCUGAGAAAUGGAAAUUCAGUAACAUGCUUUGUCAAAAAGAAAUGCCUCAGCUUACGCAGUUCUUUAAGCUCCAACUUUUCCAACAGGGGAAAUAAGGUCAUGAUUUCUUCUCCUUGUUGUUCCUCUUCUGUGAUCACUUCUUCUAUCGACACACAAUUGUCUAUUAAUAUUCUUCGUAGAUUCAGUGCACCCCGAGCCACUGAUGGAGACAUCAAGUUUCUCAAGUUUCCACAAUCCGAUACAUACAAUGUUUCAAGUUUGUUGAAGUAGGCAGUUGGAAGUUGGUGAGAGCAUAGAGCACUUAUGCUUUUAAGUUUCCUGAUGAUUAGCUCUUUCAAGUUAGGACAAGAAACCUGCAAACGUUGAAGUAUGAUAAAGCAAUUCAGAAUUUGAAAUUUAUAGAUAUCUCUAAUGAUCUCAGGUUAAUAUCCAAUAACAAUCGCGUUCACAAUCAAGGAAUCUCUAGAUAUUACUAAUACAGAUUAAAGUCUCUAGGAAAAAGCUAUUAGAUUCACGUGAACCCUUGAGUUACAAUAUUGUAGCUUCGCUUAUAUUUCUUACCUCCGUUUACAUAGAUAUCAGGUGGCAAACAGAAAUAACUAUAUGAAAAUAUUACUAUUACUAUUAUUAUUUGCUAGUUAAAAUGGAAAGAUAGCAACACACCAGGGGUGUAUUAAUGUAUGACACAAAUAUAUAUAGUAUUUAGUUAUAAAGCUAACGGCACAAGACAAACCUUAGAAUUGAACAUUGCUUUAUUGAGAUCAACUACUUUCACCUCAUCAGCAUUGUUCACACUUUCGAGACUCAGCGUACUCACAGAUAUUCCCUGUUGGACAAACAUCUUCAUUUCAUGGCAGUCAUGAAUUCUCAAUUCUCUGAGAAAUGGAAAUUCAGUAACACGCUUUGUCAAAAAGAAAUGCCUCAGCUUACGCAGUUCUUUAAGCUCCAACUUUUCCAAUAGGGGAAAUAAGGUCAUGAUUUCUUCUCCUUGUUGUUCCUCUUCUGUGAUCACUUCUUCCAUUGACACACAAUUGUGUAUUAAUAUUCUUCGUAGAUUCAGUGCACCCCGAGCCACUGAUGUUGACAUCAAGUUUCUCAAGUUUCCACAACUCGAUACAUACAAUAUUUCAAGUUUGCUGAAGUAGGCAGUUGGAAGUUGGUGAGAGCAUAGAGCAGUUAUGCUUUUAAGUGUCCAGAUGGUUAGAUCUUUCAAGUUGGGACAAGAAACCUGCAAACGUUGAAGUAUUAUAAAGCAAUUCAGAAUUUAAAAUUUAUAGAUAUCUCUAAUGAACUCAGGUUAAUAUCCAAUAACAAUCGCGUUUAUAAUCAAGAAAUUUCUAGAUAUUACUAAUACAAAUUAAAGUCUCUAGGCAAAAGCUAUUGAAUUCACGUGAACCUUUGAGUUACAAUAUUGUAAUUUCACCUAUAUUUCAUACCUCAGUCAACAUAGAUAUCAGGUGGCAACCAGAAAUAACUAUAUGAAAAGAUUACUAUUACUAUUAUUAUUUGCUAGUUAAAAUGGAAAGAUAGCACUAGACCAGGGGUGUAUUAAGGUAUGACACAAAUAUAUAUAGUAAUUAGUUAUAAAGCUAGUGACACAAGACAUACCUUAGAAUUGAACAUUGCUUUAUCGAGAUCAACUACUUUCACCUCAUCAUCAUUGUUCACACUUUUGAGACUCGGUGUACUCACAGAUAUUCUCUGUUGGACAAACGUCUUCAUUUCAGGGCAGUCACGUAUCUUCACUUUUCUGAGAAAUGGAAAUUGAAGAGCAUGCUCUGUCAGAAAGAAAUGCCCCAACUUUGGCAGCCUUAGAAGGUUUAGUUCUUCCAAUAGGGGAAAUAAGGUCAUGAUUCCUUCUCCUUGUUGUUCCUCUUUUGUGAUCACUUCUUCCAUUGAUGAACAUCCUUCUAUCUGUAAAUAUUGGAGGUUUAUAAGACCUCUUGCCACUGAUGGAGACAUCAAGUUUCUCAAGUUUCCACAAUUCGAUACAUG